UGCGUUCCUCUGCCUCUCAAUCCGCCAUUUUACAGAACGCGGCAGUAACUGUUUUCGUUUUACAGUUCCGUGUAAAAUAAUAAAAAAACAACACUUUUAUUUACAUUUGUUUUAAUUAGUAGAUUAUCGUAAACAUGGAAGCCGAAGGGCAGUCCGAUUUCAGCAUGGAAGAAUUUCCAGAAGGAUCCAAAAUUAACGCCAGCAAAAAUCAGGAGGACGAUGGGAAAAUGUUUAUUGGAGGGCUCAGCUGGGACACAAGCAAGAAAGAUCUUACAGAUUACCUGUCAAGGUUUGGAGAGGUGUUGGAUUGUACAAUUAAGACAGACCCCAUUACAGGAAGAUCUAGAGGUUUUGGCUUCGCCCUCUUCAAAGAUGCCGACAGUGUGGACAGGGUGCUGGAGCUGAAAGAACACAAACUGGAUGGAAAGCUUAUUGAUCCUAAAAGAGCCAAAGCAAUGAAGGGUAAAGAGCCACCCAAAAAAGUGUUUGUUGGAGGCUUGAGCCCGGAUACAUCGGAAGAUCAAAUCAGAGAAUAUUUUGGAAAAUUUGGAGAUAUUGAAAGCAUUGAACUUCCCAUGGACACCAAAACUAACGAGAGGAGGGGGUUCUGCUUCGUCACAUAUGCUGAAGAAGAACCAGUACAAAAACUGCUGGAGAGUAGAUACCAUCUUGUUGGAUCUGGCAAGUGCGAGAUAAAGGUGGCCCAGCCCAAAGAAGUAUACAGACAGCAGCAGCAACAAAGGGGCGGAAGAGGGGGCUCCAGAGGACGUGGUAGAGGAGGUCAAAAUCAAAACUACAACCAUGGUUAUAACAAUUACUAUGGUCAAGGUUAUGGAAGUUACGGCAAUGGAUACAAUCAAGGGUACAAUGGCUACAGUGGCUAUGAUUACUCUGGGUAUAACUAUGGGUAUGGACAGGAAUACGACGACUACAAUGUAGGUCAACAAAGCAGCUAUGGCAAAGCUUUGAGGGGAGGAGCCAAUCACCAGAACAACUAUCAGCCUUACUAAACUGAAACUGCACAGUUCUUGGAAUUUCGCGGGAACUUCAUUGCAGGCCGUGUGUCACCUUGACCACGUCAUUCUCUGGGAGUCGCACAUAGCGGGCAGAGAGCAAGGCAUGCACAAGAAAACGCUGUCCUGUGGUGGGAGAUCCGGAUGAGCAUUCUGCUAGUUAUCCUGGUAGCAACAGAGAGGUUCUAGUCCUUUUUUUUAAAUCCAAAAUCUUUUUUUUUUUUCAUUUUGAGAUGACAUUUAUUUUGUAAUCCUAAAACAUCAGUGUGAAGUUGGCACACUGAGUGUCCAUUUUGUAAAUAGCUACUGAACAGUUCUUAUUUUUAUUGGAGUGUUCACAUCUGUCCUUUGCCACAUGGCUGUUGUAUUGCUGCAAUCAAUCUGUUCAGCUCAUUUUGUUUUUGUAUUCUGUUCAGCACCUUUUUUUUUUAAUGUAAUUCCCUUUCUCUUUUUUUUUUUUUUUUUUUUUUUUUUUUGUUUCCCCAAAACCAUGAAGGGAUUAAAAUAUGGAUACAGAAACUGCUCUACCUGGAUUUAUUUCAGUCUAGUUAAUUGUAAAGUCAAGCACAAUCAGUAGAAAUUUCAAAUAAGAUCCUGCAAUACCAGUUAUGGACACUUAAAUAUACUUCAGUAUUUACAAUCCACAAUUAUAAAGACAAAUGUCAACCAUUUGCAGUUUUAGCAUUUUCAUAAAGGAGAGCAACAAUUCUUGACUGAUGGUAUCGUCCAUCCGUCCCCUGUGCAUUUCUCAUUUGUUACUAAUACAAAACCUUAAUUGAAAAAAGACUGCUGCAGGUCAAGUUCAGGUAGAGAAACUAUUAAACCUAGUCAAAUGUUGUUGCUAAAGUAAAAGUGUUCCUCUUUUAUAAUGCUAUAACUGGUUAUGCAGUAUAAAGUGGCAAAGCACUGUUUUAAGUAGACAAAUGUUUUGGUUAGUGUCUGUAAUCUUUAUUCUGUCAAACUGGAUUUAAUUACAGAUCAUGUCAAGCUGUGCAAACGUCCCAAUAUAAACAGAACAUGUAGCUGGUCUCUGAUCAAUCACAUUUUCUUCCAUUCAUGUGUAAAGGCCUGUAUACAUAACACAAUGCAUUACUGUGUAUCCUCAAUGUACACGGCAGGUGAUAAAUAGGGCUAGUUUAUUGGAUAUUAGUGUUUUUCUCUGAAAUGACCCUACAUUUCCAAAAUUGCUUAUCUGUCAAAUUCUAAUAAUAUAAAAUGAAGUAUUCUACUUUUAAAUAACUUCAAUUAGAAAAUCAAUUAAAGCAAAGCAAGAUCCAAAAACAUAAAUUGCAUAAGAUUAAAGCUGUGUGGUGUGUUUUUAGACUACAGCUAGGCUUGUCUGUCCACAAGUGUAAUAGAGUGCUGUUCAGGUUCCACAACUUUCCUAUGAAAAGCUAAAAAAAAAAAAAAAAAAAAAAAAAAAAAAGUGUGUAAUGCUUAUAUUAAAAAAACCCAAAAAACUAUUUUUCUUGUUUUAUGUGAAAUCCGACAGCAGUACAUGCAGCCACCUAAGCAACAUGCCUCUAAAAUAGCCAAUAACUCUGCUUUUUGACUGCUCACACUUGAUAUUGUUCGUGUUCAAACAAUUACUGCUUUUACUAAUAAUUCUGGCAUCCUGAAGUUUUAAAAAUCCUAUUUUUAUUUCUGAAAAACACCCAGUGAUAAAUCAUGCCCUUACUGUGGAGAAAACUUAAUGCAUUCUAUGUUCUAUAUUAUCUCUUGAUGAAACACCAUUGCUUGCCUUGGAGUUUAGUCUAUAUAAUCUUUUUCACAUAAGAUACUGCAUGGGUGAGAACCAAUAUAUAAAAAUACUUCCCACCUGUGUGUAAUUUGGCCAUUGUGUUAACAGCUGCAUGAAGUGUAGCAUGUCAUACGCGGUGGAAUAGUUUACGAAUCCACAUUGUUGGCUGAAUUUGGGAACUGAUCAGACAAAGUUUUAGAAUCAUAAGGAACUAUGAACCAGGCAAGCAUUGAUAGGCCAAAUGGCCCUGUCCUGCUAACUGUUCAUGUUUUUUUAUGACAUACUGUAGUUGAAUUAAAAGAAACAAUUACAAAAAGAACUUGACUACUUGUUUUGAUCCAGAACUUAAACAGUUUAUGGUGCAAAAAUCAUUAAUUAAAAAAAUAAUAAAAAAAAACUAUUUUCUUGCUUUCAGGCCAACGUAUACAAUAUUUCAGAAAGAAAAAAAAAAUCAUUUAUAGAUUGUUUUGCUCUGGAUUGUCACAGUAUUUAGAUCCAGAUGAUUACAAACUGAUUUACCAAAAAGCAUUUUGCCCUCAAACCAAUUGUUACUAAUCACUCUAUCCUACUAUUUAUCCACUACAAUAUAGCAUCAUACCUGAGCAACAUGUUCUGUUUGUAUGACAGGAUCCAAUGUAACACACUUGUACAUAUCAGAUGUAGUGUUUACAAAUGCAUUAUGUGGAUAUGUUGCAAUUUGUAAAAGAAGUGUGAGGCACUGUGAUCCCUGUUUUUCAAUAUGUAAUUGUAAAUCAAAUCAUUUAGUAAGCAUUAAAAAAGCUAUACUCAAA